AGUGAACGCUGGCGGCGUGCUUAACACAUGCAAGUCGAACGAGAACGGAAUAUAGCUUGCUAUAUUUGUCAGCUAAGUGGCGCACGGGUGAGUAAUGUAUAGAUAACCUGCCCUUAAGAAAGGAAUAACAGUUGGAAACGACUGCUAAUGCCCCAUAUGCCUUUAAUACAUAAGUAUGCAAGGGAAACGCUUUAGUGCUUAAGGAUGGGUCUGUAUGGUAUCAGCUUGUUGGUGAGGUAAUGGCUCACCAAGGCUAUGACGCCUAACUGGUUUGAGAGGAUGAUCAGUCACACUGGAACUGAGACACGGUCCAGACUCCUACGGGAGGCAGCAGUGGGGAGUAAUGCACAAUGGACGAAAGUCUGAUGCAGCAACGCCGCGUGGAGGAUGACACGUUUCGGUGCGUAAACUCCUUUUAUAUAGGAAGAUAAUGACGGUACUAUAUGAAUAAGCACCGGCUAACUCCGUGCCAGCCACCGCCGUAA
rnacentral:rRNA from 1 species